UAGUUCCCAGCUUGGAAAAAAUUCGACUAGAAUAUCACAAAGGCUGGAAUUACAUGGCCCACUUAUUGCCACUAGCUCAAGUUGAGCACACAAGUCAAUAAAGUUAGUAAAAAGAAAAGAGAAAGAAAAGUCAAAAAGGGGAGGGAAAUGUGUGUUGCAGUGAGAACAAACUCUGCACUCCCUCUUCCCCUGCAGAAGAAGCCGCCCACCAACUCUGCACCCCAUCUUUUAGCCGCCUUCCAUGGCUGCAAUGUUCCCUCAAACCUCAACUUCCAGCCACCCUAUCUCUGCUCAUUUCACUAGCAUACUCA
rnacentral:lncRNA from 1 species